GAUGAACGCUGGCGGCGUGCCUAAUACAUGCAAGUCGAGCGAAUGGAUUAAGAGCUUGCUCUUAUGAAGUUAGCGGCGGACGGGUGAGUAACACGUGGGUAACCUGCCCAUAAGACUGGGAUAACUCCGGGAAACCGGGGCUAAUACCGGAUAACAUUUUGAACCGCAUGGUUCGAAAUUGAAAGGCGGCUUCGGCUGUCACUUAUGGAUGGACCCGCGUCGCAUUAGCUAGUUGGUGAGGUAACGGCUCACCAAGGCAACGAUGCGUAGCCGACCUGAGAGGGUGAUCGGCCACACUGGGGCUGGGACACGGCCCAGACUCCUACGGGAGGCAGCAGUAGGGAAUCUUCCGCAAUGGACGAAAGUCUGACGGAGCAACGCCGCGUGAGUGAUGAAGGCUUUCGGGUCGUAAAACUCUGUUGUUAGGGAAGAACAAGUGCUAGUUGAAUAAGCUGGCACUUUGACGGUACCUAACCAGAAAGCCACGGCUAACUACGUGCCAGCCGCCGCGGUAA
rnacentral:rRNA from 1 species